UACAGAUAUAGGAGUUGUGUCAUGAACUACCAUUUGGAAAUGUCCAUAUGUGAAUUGACGUCAAAUACCACAUACACGUGUACAAGAAUUUCACCUUUAAUUUCCUCUUUAAUUUUCUGGAGAGAGGACAAAAAUUUUUCGGAACGAAGCGAGCUAGCUAAAGAAUGAUCAAAAGUCUGUUCUGUGCGAAAGUUUUUUUCUGCGACUAAAUGGAAAUCUACUUCUUUUGUCCAGUCUUGAUGAAAUCUGGCACGUGUAUUCAUCAGGAUCAAAGGAGGGUCACUACCAACAUUUCAAAGUCCAAAAAUGUAUUUAAAAUAACAAAUUUUUGGUGUGUUUUUUUUUCAACUUUAUUUUUUGAAAAUAUUAUCUCAUAGAAAUAAUUCUAAAACUUCAAAAAAAUAUGUUUUUAAUGAUUACAAUUUUAA